AACGCAUAUUGCGCCUGCGACCUCGGUCAAGGGCAUGCCUGCCUCAGCGUCGGUUUAUACCCUCGCUCCUUAACCCUUAGGGGUGAUGCACAGCACUGCUUCGCGCAGCUGUCAGGAGCGGAUCUGGCUUUCCCAAGAUGCCAUCUAGGUGGCAUGUGGGUUUGCUGAAGAACAGAGGCUAGAGCUCGGACCCGAUAUGGGCUUCAACUGGAUAGGUAGCGCUCAAUCGGGUUUCCCCCUUUUGAGUAAUACACAAAGUUGUUGCUUGUGGACCUUGCUGGCGGCCUAGCAGGAAUAAACCUAAACUUUCGACCUGAGCUCAGACAAGACUACCUGCUGAACUUAA
rnacentral:misc_RNA from 1 species